rnacentral:lncRNA from 1 species
AAGAAACAAGAACAAAGAAAGUGAAUAUGUCCAAGGGAGCGGUUGUUCUUUUGGAUUGUUGGGCUAACCCAUUUUGCUUGAGAGCAAAGAUUGCAUUGGCUGAGAAAGGAGUUGAAUAUGAAGCCAGAGCUGAGAACUUGUUUGGGGGCAAGAGUGACCUGCUGCUCAAAUCAAACCCCAUCAACAAGAAAGUCCCAGUUUUUCUACAGGAUGGGAAACCAUUGUGUGAAUCCACUAUUAUAGUUAACUAAAUUGACGAGACUUGGCCUUCGCCACCACUUCUCCCAUCCCGUGCUUAUGGGACAGCUAAGACAAGGUUCUGGGCAGAUUUUAUUGACAAGAAGGUCAGUCUAUGAUUCUCAAGUCUAAAUUAUGAUUCUCAAGUCUAAAUGUUUGUAUUUUUCUAAAUGCGAACUUAAAAGAUGACACCACUUUUUUGGCAGGUAUUCGAUGCAGUAUGCAACAUACGGAAAAGCAAGGGCGAGGUCCCAGAGACGGCGAAGAAUGAAUUUAUAGAGAUUUUGAAGCAACUUGAGGGAGCUUUAGGGGAGAAGGAUUUCUUUGGCGGGGAUAGCUUUGGAUUCGUUCAUGUGAUUGCCAUUCCACUGACUUGUUGGUUUUACGCGGUUGAGAAAUUUGGGGGAGUUAAGGUUGAGAAUGAGUGCCCCAAAUUCUCAGCAUGGAUGAACAAGUGCAUGCAAAGAGAUACUGUUGCCAGGAUCCUUCCAGACCCAGAAAAGGUCUACGAAUUUGUUAUCAUGUUGAGGAACAUGUUUGGAAUUGAAUAGUGAAAGGCUGAUGCUGCUGAAAAGCUUUCAUUCUCAUAUGAAGAUAACUUUCAGUUGCUUCUUUGCUUUACUGCUGUCGAUGUAAUAAUAGAAACCAGCAACGUUCGGUUGCUUUGUUUAAAUGCUUUCUGAAAUAUAUGCGUGUGUGUUUGCGUGUAUUGUGUUUAAAUGAUAAAUGAAAAGCAGAAAAAAAAUUAUAUGAAAUUGUUCUUAAAUUUAGGUUAAUGAAAUUACGGCAUGUAAGCAAUGUAUAAAAGAACAGAGGUCGAAAACAACACUUGCUGUUACAUUUAAAGAAAUUGAAGCCAUAAUUCAUAUUUUGCGUUCUAUCAAAACUUCUCUAGUGCAACAAAACAAGAUCCAGUACAUGUUCCAUCACCAUAUUCAAUAACAGUAAGUGAUUCAUUACCCUUUUCAUGCAUAUUCAAUGUAAUUUUUAUUAUAAUAUUUGUUGUUGUCUUAUUUGGGUUUGUUUAUAUAUAAACAAUUCUAUGCCUAUGUAAUUUUUAUUAUAAUAUUCAUUGUUUGUCAUAUUUGGAUUUUUUAUUAUAAACGAUUCCAUGGCUAUGCAAUUUUUAUUAUUAUAAUAUUUGUUGUUUGUCUUACUUGCGUUUGUUUACAUAUAAUUUCCGGUGACUUGUUAGUUUUUAAAGUUCGUUGCAUAAUGAAAAAGACGAAAAUGUUAUCUUUCACGUGGUAUUGCACGUGUACAUUUUUAUAUGUACAAGUAAAUUUCAUCUUACAUUAUAUAAAUUUAGUCAUUUAUUUUUUUACAGUAGUUUAACAAUAAGAUUUACCAAACACCCUUCACUGUUUUCAAAAUUCACAGUACUUUUGAAAAUAAAAUUUAUCAAACACUUAACUGAUUCUUUUCAUAGCUGAUUAUUUGUACAGCACAACUAACAUAUUUUAUUUUAAAAGCUGCAGCAUUAUCAAACUGGCCCUUAUAAAUGCCAACCUUGAUACUCAAGGUUUAAUUACUAUCAACCAACUAAAAGAAACAAGAACAAAGAAAGUGAAUAUGUCCAAGGGAGCGGUUGUUCUUUUGGAUUGUUGGGCUAACCCAUUUUGCUUGAGAGCAAAGAUUGCAUUGGCUGAGAAAGGAGUUGAAUAUGAAGCCAGAGCUGAGAACUUGUUUGGGGGCAAGAGUGACCUGCUGCUCAAAUCAAACCCCAUCAACAAGAAAGUCCCAGUUUUUCUACAGGAUGGGAAACCAUUGUGUGAAUCCACUAUUAUAGUUAACUAAAUUGACGAGACUUGGCCUUCG